rnacentral:rRNA from 1 species
GGUAAUUCUGGAGCUAAUACAUGCAGUGCCAAACGUCGGCCUUCGGGUUGGCGUGCGGCGAUCGACGCAAAUCUUCUCGAUUUUGCUAACUCUAGAUCAAACCGCUUAUCGCACGGUCUCGUACCGGCGAAGUUUCUUUUAUGUAUCUGCCCUAUCAACUAUCGUUGGCGGUGUAGCGGACCGCCAUGGUUCUAACGGGUAACGGAGAAUCAGGGUUCGACUCCGGAGAGGGAGCCUUAGAAACGGCUACCAUGUCUAAGGAUAGCAGCAGGCGCGAAAAUUAUCCAAUACCAAUACGGUGAGAUAGUAACGAGAAAUAACGAGACCGUUCUCUCUGAGGUCGGUCAUCGGAAUGGAAAAAAUCCAGACACUUUAUUGAGUAUCUACGAGUGGGCCAGUCUGGUGCCAGCAGCCGCGGUAAUUCCAGCACUCGUAAGGUAUAGAAUGAUUGUUGCGUUUGAAAAGUUCGUAGUUGGAUUUUAACACUGGCGCGUGUUCGGCCUUUGGGUCGUUUCGCGUGACUAGUUCUCUGUUCGCGUUCGUUCGUUGGUCUUCGGGCUGGCGUUCGUUGCGUUCAGGAUUACUUUGAAUGACUAAGUGCUCAAGACGAGACUUAUGUCCGAAUAUCACUGCAUAGAAUAAUAGAACACGGUUACGGCCGGUUUGUUGGUUUGACGGUUGUGAUAAUGAUUAAAAGGAACAGCCGGGGGCAUUCGUAUCGUGGCGCGAGAGGUGAAAUUCGUGGACCGUCGCGAGACGCCCUAAAGCGAAAGCAUUUGCCAAGAGUGUUUUCAUUAAUCAUGAACGAAAGUCAGAGGGUUCGAAGGCGAUUAGAUACCGCUCUAGUUCUGACCGUAAACGAUGCCAACUACCGAUCCGCUUGUGAAUUUUGUUCAUAGGCGGGGAGGUCCCCGGAAACGAAAGUUUUUCGGCUACGGGGGAAGUAUGGUUGCAAAGCUGAAACUUAAAGGAAUUGACGGAAGGGCACCACCAGGAGUGGAGUUGCGGCUUAAUUUGACUCAACACGGGAAAUCUCACCCGGCCAGUACAUUGUAAGGAUUGACGGACCGAUAGCUCUUUCAUGAUUCGGUGAAUGGUGGUGCAUGGCCGUUCUUAGUUCGUGGAUUGAUUUGUCUGCUUUAUUGCGAUAACGAACGAGACUUUGACUAUUAAAUAGUGCCCGUGUUCUUUCGCACGUGGUCACUUCUUAAAGGAAUUGGUGGCGUUUAGCCUCAAGUGAUUGAGCAAUAACAGGUCUGUGAUGCCCUUAGAUGUUCGGGGCUGCACGCGUACUACAAUGGUGGUACCAGCGUGAUUGUCCUUCUCCGAGAGGAGUUGGCAAACAGUUGAGAUAUUACUAUAGCUGGAAUUGAGUGUUGAAAUUUUCGCUCGUGAACGAGGAAUUCCAAGUAAAUGUGAGUCAUCAACUUGCAUUGAUUACGUCCCUGCCCUUUGUACACACCGCCCGUCGCUGCCCGGGACUGAGUUGUUUCGAGAAAGCUAUGGACUGGGAUGCGUGUAUGCUUCGGUGUACUGCGUUCUGGAAAUUAGUUUAAUCGCGAUGACUUGAACCGGGCAAAAGUCGUAACAAGGUAGC